rnacentral:rRNA from 1 species
UCUUCCCUCUGGCGGCGUGCCUAAUACAUGCAAGUCGAGCGAACGGACGAGAAGCUUGCUUCUCUGAUGUUAGCGGCGGACGGGUGAGUAACACGUGGAUAACCUACCUAUAGGACUGGGAUAACUUCGGGAAACCGGAGCUAAUACCGGAUAAUAUUUUGAACCGCAUGGUUCAAAAGUGAAAGACGGUCUUGCUGUCACUUAUAGAUGGAUCCGCGCUGCAUUAGCUAGUUGGUAAGGUAACGGCUUACCAAGGCAACGAUGCAUAGCCGACCUGAGAGGGUGAUCGGCCACACUGGAACUGAGACACGGUCCAGACUCCUACGGGAGGCAGCAGUAGGGAAUCUUCCACAAUGGGCGAAAGCCUGACGGAGCAACGCCGCGUGAGCGAUGAAGGUCUUCGGAUCGUAAAACUCUGUUAUUAGGGAAGAACAUAUGUGUAAGUAACUGUGCACAUCUUGACGGUACCUAAUCAGAAAGCCACGGCUAACUACGUG